rnacentral:tRNA from 1 species
GGGAGCAUGGCUUAAUGGUAGAGCAUUUGCUUAGCAAGUAUGAGACCUUGAAUUCAAACCCCAAUCCCUUCA